UCUGAUGCGGCAGUAAGUGGGAGUUGGGAGCUCCGAGGUGCAGGCUGUUCCAGUGGCUUGGCCUGGACAGGCUGUGGAGAGGGAACAGAGGGGACUGGGCCUUCUGCGGCGGCCAUCUUGGGGCGCGCUUGGCGCUGUAGUAGUGUUCCUAUAUCCCCCUGAUCGGCCGGAGUAACUGGCUGAGGUUUUUGGGUUCGUCUCCCCAUCACUGCUUUAGCGCUGUGGGGGGCUGUCGCGUUCUUCCCCGUGGCAGCGGGAAGGUCGGUCAAACGUGACCCGAGGAGGAAAAUCUCCAGGCAGGGGAAGGCCGAGGGCGUGUAGGCUCCUGGCUUGCGUUUCACUUUGGUCUGCUUCAGUGCGUAUAUAGAAGGCAUCGAUCGGUUUGAAGGGUGAAGGGCUCCCGUGAGAGGUCUUAGUUUGUAGAAUAGUAUCGGCAGAUCG